GUGCUCACUUCCACAGCACAUUUACUAAAAUUGGAACAAUGCAGAGAAGAUGCCCCUGCACAAGAAUGACACUCAGAUUUGUGAACUGUUCCAUGUUAAA
rnacentral:snRNA from 1 species